rnacentral:sRNA from 1 species
GCUGAGCAUGGUGGCACAUGCCUGUAAUCCCAGCAGCUUGGGAGGCUGAGGCAGGAGAAUUGUGAGUUCAAAGCCAGCCUUAGCAAAAGUGAGGCACUAAGCAACUCAGUGAGACCCUGCCUCUA